ACCCGCACAAGCGGUGGAUGAUGUGGUUAAUUCGAUGCAACGCGAAAACCUUACCACCUUGACAUGUACGGAAUCCUUUAGAGAUAGAGGAGUGCUCGAAAGAGAGCCGUAACACAGGUGCUGCAUGGCUGUCGUCAGCUCGUGUCGUGAGAUGUUGGGUUAAGUCCCGCAACGAGCGCAACCCUUGUCAUUAGUUGCUACAUUCAGUUGGGCACUCUAAUGAGACUGCCGGUGACAAACCGGAGGAAAGGUGGGGAUGACGUCAAGUCCUCAUGGCCCUUAUAGGUGGGGCUACACACGUCAUACAAUGGAUGGUACAAAGGGUCGCCAACCCGCGAGGGGGAGCCAAAUCCCAUAAAGCCAUUCGUAGUCCGGAUCGCAGUCUGCAACUCGACUGCGUGAAGUCGGAAUCGCUAGUAAUCGUGGAUCAGAAUGUCACGGUGAAUACGUUCCCGGGUCUU
rnacentral:rRNA from 1 species